AACGAACGCUGGCGGCGUGCCUAACACAUGCAAGUCGAGCGCGAAAAGGGCAACCUGAGUAGAGCGGCGCACGGGUGCGUAACACGUGGGUAAUCUGCCUUGGAGUCGAGGAUAACCUUCCGAAAGGUUGGCUAAUACUCGGUAAGCUUACGGUGUCUUCGGACGCUGUGGGAGAAGUAGGCCUCUGUUUACAAGCUUACGCUCUGAGAUGAGCCCGCGGCCCAUCAGCUAGUUGGCGGUGUAACGGAACACCAAGGCAACGACGGGUAGCUGGUCGGAGGGGACGAUCAGCCACACUGGAACUGAGACACGGUCCAGACUCCUACGGGAGGAAGCAGUGGGGAAUAUUGGACAAUGGGCGAAAGCCUGAUCCAGCCAGGCCGCGUGUGUGAAGAAGGACUUCGGGUUGUAAAGCACUUUAAGCGGGGAGGAAUGGCUCUUGGUUAAUAACCUUGAGCAGUGACGUUACUCGCAGAAUAAGCACCGGCUAACUCUGUGCCAGCAGCCGCAGUAAAAC
rnacentral:rRNA from 1 species